rnacentral:lncRNA from 1 species
UUUGGAGCGGCAACACGCGGCGGCGGCGGCGGCACCCGGGGAGGCCGUGCACCCUGUGCCUCCUGCAGUGGUGCCGAGUGCGGCCGAGGGUGUGGCCGCAGCGGCCGUGCCAGUUACGAUGGUGCCGGCAGGAUCGGGGACCUCAAAUCCCGAUAGUGCGGCGGAGGAGGCGGAGCGGGAGCGCACGUUGGCAGCUCUCAUUCAGUUUCAGAAGUUCAACCCACCCACCUUCGAAGGUGGAGUGGUGGAGCCGACGAUCGUGGAGUCAUGGAUCGACUCCAUGGAGACACUCUUUGAGGAUCUUAACACCUUGGAGAGGGACAAGGUGUACCUCGCCACACAUUGCCUCGAGAAGGCGGCGAAGGUGUGGUGGAAGCGUGUUAGGCGGGAUCGAUCGCCCGAUCUUCCGCCUA